CCUGUAGCUCAGUUGGAUAGAGCAUCGGAUUUCUAAUCCGGCGGUCGGGGGUUCGAGACCCUCCAGG
rnacentral:tRNA from 1 species